AUUGGGCUGUACGAUCCCCUCCGACAUGGUAUAGUUCCUGCUCAGGUCAAAAUUUGAUUUCUUUGGACCCAAAGAAGCAUCGCAAAAAUCACUGAGCAGCACCAGGAGGAAUACGCUCGUCAUAAUACUUUUCAGGAACACAUACUUACCAAGCAAUUUCUACGUGUCAGACACUCAAGAAAUAAAGAGACCUGUCCGCACGGAGCCUGCUUUCUAGUGUGUGGGAGCAGAGGUAACAGAUCAGCUAUUCGUAAAUAUAAACAUAGAGAGAAGAGGCCCACUUCUGCGUAACAGACUCCCCUUUUCGCGCUCGCCACAUCAGAGGUGGCGUUUUAAUGAUGCUGAUGGAUGCUGAAGCAGACAUUCUCCACCGUCUGACAGCACGGCAUUCUUCAAAUAGCUGCAAGAGUAAAAAGUGCUUUGAGGGUUUUCUUUCAAAUAAAUUUUGUAAUGUAA